UACGUAGGUGGCAAGCGUUGUCCGGAUUUACUGGGCGUAAAGGGCGUGCAGGCGGUUUGUUAAGUGCAGAGUGAAAGCUCCCGGCUCAACUGGGAGAGGUCUUUGCGUACUGGCAAACUCGAGGGAGGCAGAGGAAAGUGGAAUUCCCGGUGUAGUGGUGAUAUGCGUAGAUAUCGGGAGGAACACCUGUGGCGAAGGCGGCUUUCUGGGCCUUACCUGACGCUGAGACGCGAAAGCGUGGGGAGCGAACCGG
rnacentral:rRNA from 1 species